rnacentral:rRNA from 1 species
GGGGGACUGGUGACCCAGGCUACGGCCGGGAUGUUCAUAACCCUUUGUUGUCCGACUCUGUUGCCUCCGGGGCGACCCUGCCUUCGGGCGGGGGCUCCGGGUGGACACUUCAAACUCUUGCGUAACUUUGCAGUCUGAGUAAACUUAAUUAAUAAAUUAAAACUUUUAACAACGGAUCUCUUGGUUCUGGCAUCGAUGAAGAACGCAGCGAAAUGCGAUAAGUAAUGUGAAUUGCAGAAUUCAGUGAAUCAUCGAAUCUUUGAACGCACAUUGCGCCCCCUGGUAUUCCGGGGGGCAUGCCUGUUCGAGCGUCAUUUCACCACUCAAGCCUCGCUUGGUAUUGGGCAACGCGGUCCGCCGCGUGCCUCAAAUCGUCCGGCUGGGUCUUCUGUCCCCUAAGCGUUGUGGAAACUAUUCGCUAAAGGGUGUUCGGGAGGCUACGCCGUAAAACAACCCCAUUUCUAAGGUUGACCUCGGAUCAGGUAGGGAUACCCGCUGAACUUAAGCAUAUCAAUAAGCGGAGGAAA